UUAUAUUUAUCAUGCACUGUUAUAACUGAUUACGAUCGAUUUGACUGGAUGGUGAAUGACAUCGCAACGGAAGUAACGGUUUUGUCAAGCGAUGAGUGGCUGGGAGUCCUGUCAAUAACAAUCUUGUUUGCUGAUUGCUCUGGAGAUCUUUGCACACAAAAUGCUGGAGUAACUCAGCGGGGCAGGCAGCAUCUUUGGAGAGCAGGAAUGGGUGACGUUUCGGGUCGAGACUCUUCUUCAGGCUGACAGUCAGAGGAGAGGGAGACAGAGAGAUAUGUGGAUGGGUGUCCCUCAGGAUCAAGGAUGACCUGCUUCUACUGCACUUCUGUGAGAUUGUGACUGAUGUGGCCAAUUAUGGACCUGCAGACUCUGUCACAAGUGGACUCGAUAAGAAGAAGAAGCACUAAAUGAGAAGUAUUGAAUGCGACAUUCCAACAUCUGAAGAAGUUCAGAAAAACCUCUGAAGGUCUGAAGACCCAAAACGUCACCCAUUCCUUCUCUCCAGAGAUGCUGCCUGGCCUGCUGAGUUACUCCUGCAUUUUGCGUCUAUCUUUGGUUUAAACCAGCAUCUGCAGUUUCUUCCUACACAUUCCAACAUGUUUCAUGAUCGAUGUAUAUUUCUUCCAACCUCAUCAUUGGAUUUGUUGCUCUCGAUGUGGCCUCCUCUAGUUCGGCGAGACCAAGUGUAGACGAGGUGACCGUUUUGUGUGGGACACCUGCGUUCCGUGCGCAAUUGCUAGAUUCAGCUUCUCAUUGUGGGAAUAACAUUUCAACACUCCUCCCUGCUCCCACGCUGACCUGUCCAUCCUCAGCAUUUUCUGCUGUCACGGUAAGGCCAAACAAAAAGUAGAAGAAAACACUGCAUAUUCCACUUGGGUAGCCUCCAACAUUGAAUUUUCUAAUUUUACGUAACUCACAAUCCCUGUGUUCUUUUCUCAUUCCAACAGAUCCACCUAAGUUUCAUCUCUCUCUUUGUUCUUCUUUUCCUAUCCCCAGUCCCCAUGUUACCUGGAUUUGUUACGCUCCCCCUUCUAGCUCCACCAUGGUGCCUGUCAGCUGCUGGAGCUGCUGCCUCACA